rnacentral:tRNA from 1 species
CGGGGUGUGGCGCAGUUGGUAGCGCGCUACGUUCGGGACGUAGAGGCCGCCCGUUCGAGUCGGGUCACCCCGACCA